UACAGGGGGGGCAAGCGUUGUUCGGAAUUACUGGGCGUAAGGGCUCGUAGGCGGCCAACUAAGUCCGACGUGAAAUCCCCAGGCUUAACCUGGGAACUGCGUCGGAUACUGGAUGGCUUGAAUUCGGGAGAGGGAUGCAGAAUUCCAGGUGUAGCGGUGAAAUGCGUAGAUAUCUGGAGGAAUACCGGUGGCGAAGGCGGCAUCCUGGACCGACAUUGACGCUGAUGAGCGAAAAGCUAGGGGAGCAACGGG
rnacentral:rRNA from 1 species